rnacentral:rRNA from 1 species
UACGUAGGGUGCAAGCGUUGCCCGGAUUUAUUGGGCGUAAAGGGCGCGCAGGCGGCCGAGCACGUCCGUUGUGAAAUCGCCUGGCUCAACUGGGCGGGGUCAGCGGAUACGGCUAGGCUGGAGCAAGCUAGGGGGCAAUGGAAUUCCCGGUGUAGUGGUGGAAUGCGUAGAUAUCGGGAGGAACACCUGUGGCGAAAGCGGCGCACUGGACCAUAACUGACGCUGAGGCGCGAAAGCUAGGGGAGCAAACAGG